AUGGCCACCUACCUCUCAGACAUGAUCAGUGACCAUUCCCUGGAUUUUUUGGGGUUGCGGGAAACUAUGAAGAAAGACUUCACUCCUAAAUGCUUGAGGAGGAUUGAUCCCUCUGACAUCUUUCAUUGGGACUGGGUGCCUUUUGUAGGUAAAUUUGGGGGUAUCCUAUGUGGUGCGAGGAGAGAUACCUUAGAUGUAGUUUCCUGUUCUAAAGUCAAAUAUGUGCUUCAAAUGGUGCUUUAUGACAAAAAGAAAAAAUUCCAGUGGGGGUUGCUAGUGGUUUAUGGGUCGGCACAUGAUGAAUUCAAAAAUGAGUUCUUGAUUGAAUUGGCUGCUUCUUGUAGUAGCAUGAGUAUUCCCUACAUAGUGGGGGGAGACUUUAACAUAUUGAGACACCCUGGAGAGAAGAAUUAA
rnacentral:rRNA from 1 species